rnacentral:misc_RNA from 1 species
GAACGCACAUUGCGCCCCUUGGUAUUCCGAGGGGCAUGCCUGUUCGAGCGUCAUUACACCACUCAAGCACCGCUUGGUAUUGGGCAUCGUCCGCCGUAAAGGCGGGCGUGCCUCGAAGACCUCGGCGGGGUUUCUCCAACUUCAGGCGUAGUAGAGUUAAAUCAAAACGUCUUAUAAGCUUGGUGAGAUCUCAUUGCCGUUAAACCUUUUAUAUUUUUCAGGUUGACCUCGGAUCAGGUAGGGAUACCCGCUGAACUUA